CAGGCUUAACACAUGCAAGUCGAGCGGUAGCACAGGGGAGCUUGCUCUCGGGUGACGAGUGGCGGACGGGUGAGUAAUGUCUGGGAAACUGCCUGAUGGAGGGGGAUAACUACUGGAAACGGUAGCUAAUACCGCAUAACGUCGCAAGACCAAAGAGGGGGACCUUCGGGCCUCUUGCCAUCAGAUGUGCCCAGAUGGGAUUAGCUAGUAGGUGGGGUAACGGCUCACCUAGGCGACGAUCCCUAGCUGGUCUGAGAGGAUGACCAGCCACACUGGAACUGAGACACGGUCCAGACUCCUACGGGAGGCAGCAGUGGGGAAUAUUGCACAAUGGGCGCAAGCCUGAUGCAGCCAUGCCGCGUGUGUGAAGAAGGCCUUCGGGUUGUAAAGCACUUUCAGCGAGGAGGAAGGUGGUGAACUUAAUACGUUCAUCAAUUGACGUUACUCGCAGAAGAAGCACCGGCUAACUCCGUGCCAGCAGCCGCGGUAAUACGGAGGGUGCAAGCGUUAAUCGGAAUUACUGGGCGUAAAGCGCACGCAGGCGGUUUGUUAAGUCAGAUGUGAAAUCCCCGGGCUCAACCUGGGAACUGCAUUUGAAACUGGCAAGCUAGAGUCUCGUAGAGGGGGGUAGAAUUCCAGGUGUAGCGGUGAAAUGCGUAGAGAUCUGGAGGAAUACCGGUGGCGAAGGCG
rnacentral:rRNA from 1 species